rnacentral:rRNA from 1 species
UACAGAGACUGCAAGCGUUAUCCGGAUUCACUGGGCGUAAAGGGUGCGCAGGCGGUCGGGUGUGUCAGAUGUGAAAUCCCGAGGCUCAACCUCGGAACUGCGUCUGAAACUACUCGACUAGAGUACUGGAGAGGGUAACGGAAUUCACGGUGUAGCAGUGAAAUGCGUAGAUAUCGUGAGGAACACCAGAGGCGAAGGCGGUUACCUGGACAGUUACUGACGCUCAGGCACGAAAGCAUGGGGAGCAAAAGGG